rnacentral:rRNA from 1 species
AACGAACGCUGGCGGCGCGCCUAAUACAUGCAAGUCGAGCGAGAAGACGUAGCAAUACGUUUGUAAAGCGGCGAACGGGUGAGGAAUACAUGGGUAACCUACCCUCGAGUGGGGAAUAACUAGCCGAAAGGUUAGCUAAUACCGCGUACGCUCCUUGGACUUCGGUUCAGGGAGGAAAGCGAUACCGUGGGUAUCGCGCUCUUGGAUGGGCUCAUGUCCUAUCAGCUUGUUGGGAGGUAACGGCUCACCAAGGCUUCGACGGGUAGCUGGUCUGAGAGGACGAUCAGCCACACUGGCACUGCGACACGGGCCAGACUCCUACGGGAGGCAGCAGUAAGGAAUAUUGCGCAAUGGGCGAAAGCCUGACGCAGCGACGCCG